UUUUAUUUGCGUAACCAAAAAUUGAAAACAACAUUCUUACAUUAUAAACGAAAACUCGUGGCGGUGGAUGUCUCGGCUCUGGUAACGAUGAAGAACGCAGCGAAAUGCGAUACGUAAUGCGAAUUGCAGAACCCGUGAAUCAUCAAAUUUUUGAACGCAAGUGGCGCUCGCGGGCAAUCCUGCGAGCAUGUCUGUUUGAGUGUCCGUACUAGGAAAGCUAUUUGUUCCCUUUGAACGGCCCGCAAGGGUGUGUUUGGGGAGCUGCUGUUGGGCGUUCUCGAAAGAGUAGUCCGUGGGGAGACCUGCGGUCGCCUGAAGUAUGGUGGACCGUUUGGGUGUCUGCGUCUUGGGACGAGAUUCUGUUGCGUUCCCCGUUCUGGGGGGCGGUUGGACUCUAACGGCGUCGUGAAGUAAUGAAAGUUACGGGAAGCGAGGUUUGCAGUGAGUUUGAUUCUGUCAUGGAGAGCGGGGUUUCGAAACGGGGGGUGGGGGCCUGAGCGACCAAGAAGGAUCGGAAAAAAUUCUAGGAUCUCAAAUCAGGCAAGACGACCCGCUGAAUUUAAG
rnacentral:rRNA from 1 species